rnacentral:rRNA from 1 species
AAAGCCCUUUCGGGGGUAAGUAGAGUGGCGUCCGGGUGAGUAACACGUAGGUAAUCUACCUCUGGGUGGGGAAUAACGUCUCGAAAGAGACGCUAAUACCGCAUAAUGCAGCGGCACCUAAUGGUGAAUAGUUGUUAAAGCGGGGGAUCGCAAGACCUCGCGCCUAGAGAGGAGCCUGCGGCAGAUUAGCUAGUUGGUGAGGUAAUGGCUCACCAAGGCUUCGAUCUGUAGCUGGUCUGAGAGGACGGCCAGCCACACUGGCACUGACACACGGGCCAGACUCCUACGGGAGGCAGCAGUGGGGAAUUUUGGGCAAUGGGCGCAAGCCUGACCCAGCAACGCCGCGUGAAGGAGGAAAUCCUUCGGGAUGUAAACUUCACAAGCAAGGGAAGAAUGCCUCAGGGUGAAUACCCCUGAGGAGAGACGGUACCUUGCGUAAGCCACGGCUAACUACGUGCCAGCAGCCGCGGUAAUACGUAGGUGGCAAGCGUUGUUCGGAAUUAUUGGGCGUAGAGGGCGCGUAGGCGGUUCGUUAAGUCAGUUGUGAAAGCCCGGAGCUCAACUCCGGAGAGUCGACUGAUACUGGCGAGCUAGAGUACGGAAGAGGUAGCUGGAAUUCCCGGUGUAGCGGUGAAAUGCGUAGAUGUCGGGAGGAACACCAGAGGCGAAGGCGGGCUACUGGGCCGAUACUGACGCUGAUGCGCGAAAGCCAGGGGAGCAAACGGGAUUAGAUACCCCGGUAGUCCUGGCCCUAAACGAUGGACACUUGGUGUGUCGGGUAUUCAAGUCCCGGCGUGCCGGAGCUAACGCGUUAAGUGUCCCGCCUGGGGAGUACGGUCGCAAGGCUGAAACUC